rnacentral:lncRNA from 1 species
GUGUGUGUGUGUGUGUGUAUCUGUUGUCUGUUGUAUAUGUGUUACCUAGACGAAAAUGUUGAUGAAACCGGGAUGAUUUACUGAAUUUCUCGCGUAAGCCCUAUUAAAUAUAUAUCUUUUUUUAGCAAGAAACUUUUUGAAAGGAGAACCAAUUUCAAUGCCUUCAAACCAUCCAUCAAGAGAAUGACAGGAACCUGGAGGCUGGAUUUCUGUUAACUGGCAUACGGAUGCUAUAGGGGACUGGGCAAAACUGUUGAGUAUUCCUAAUCAAAAUGCAAAGAUACCUAUGGCCUAACCUGAAGGUAAACACAGGUUUUAAAUAUUACAGGCCUACCACCUGUUAUUCAAUGCUGCAUCAAACAACAACGGCCAUAGAGAAACACUAAUAAAAGUGUUAAUUCUAAAUUAA